AGCGAAGAUGAGACAAACACUAGUUUAGCUGCAUGCUCGUUUACUUCCACAGGAAUUAUAAAGCAGACAGUUCUUCAAGGAUAUCGAAAAUGAGCCACGGUCGUAAAUACAGUGUUCCAGGUUGAAACUUAGGCUACAAAGAAAGCUGAGACUUUCCAUAGUCUUCCCAAGGAUUCAAAAGUUCGAGGGGCAUGGAGAAUGUUUUUCUACCAGAAGAUCCCUGCAAAGUUCGACAUUCUGUUAUUAUUUUGCAAAACAUUUCACCGAAGGCAGUUUUCAAAACCUUGAACAGUUAAGCAGGAUUUGCUAAGCUGCUGUUACUGAAACGAGGGGCUGUUCCGACCGUAAGGUCAUCACAACCGCAUGCUGUUUUAUCUAGCAGCCAUGCACUUCAAUGACAAUGCUGAGUCCCCACAACAGAAGACAGCCAAGGAGAAACUACAGACGUGCCAAACAAUUUAUCAUCAAAGACCCUCUUCCUUAUUGGGAUGUCGUCCAGCGGAUUCCUGUGCCCCAGGACUUGUGUGCUCAGCUAGACAGACCUUCCAUGGAGGAUGCUGUUGCUGAACAUGUGUCACGC